rnacentral:tRNA from 1 species
AGGUAAUUAGUAUUAAACUAAAACAUUUGGUUUCGGCCCAGAAACUUACGGUUAGGCCCCGUAAUUACCUC